AGCUGGGGAACACAUGUUUGCAGUUGAAGGCUCAGUUGAACAAGCUCUGCCAUAAUGGAUCACCUCUGUUUCCUUUCCACUGUAAGUGCCAGAAAUCACAGGAGAAUGGUUGUCAUACUCAUUGCCGGAAGCCCUAACGGGUUGAACAUCAGCCAGCAACUGCAUCACUCCUGUGUGAUAAGAGGUUAUUGCACAAAACAAAACAAGAUUCUAAGGGAGCCAGGAGCCAGGGAGGAGGAAGAUAUCCCAAACGUGAUUUUUACAUCCUCAAAAAAGCAAGUGAAACAUGUGAGAACCUUUCCUUUGCAGCGACAGCAAGUGAAGUGAACGUGGCUACGGAGUAGAGGAGAUUCUGCUUUCUUGGAUGCAAAGUAAGGACGUGACAGGAUUCAGACAUCCUGGUCUGGAUGUCUACCUACCAACAUGAGAUAAAUCUUUCUCAACUUACUCACAUCCGUACCUGCAGGCAUAUCUGUGAAGGCAGCUUACCUUUCCUCCUGGGAUGGAGGACUCCUUCUACUUCUUAAGGACUCAUUCAAGUUCCACUUUCUCCAAUAACUAUCUGGUGGUUCCAGCCUUAACUCUCCCCCUCCCAGUGAGUUAUUUAA